rnacentral:rRNA from 1 species
UACGUAGGGGGCGAGCGUUGUCCGAAGUUACUGGGCGUAAAGCGCGUGUAGGCGGUCCGGUAAGUCCGCUGUGAAAGUCGAGGGCUCAACCCUCGAAUGCCGGUGGAAACUGCCGGGCUGGAGUCCGGAAGAGGCGAGUGGAAUUCCUGGUGUAGCGGUGAAAUGCGCAGAUAUCAGGAGGAACACCAAUGGCGAAGGCAGCUCGCUGGGACGGUACUGACGCUGAGACGCGAAAGCGUGGGGAGCAAACAGG